rnacentral:lncRNA from 8 species
AUAGCUUUGUAUCGUGACUAGGUUUAAGAGUUUUUCCUGGCCUGAGUCUCCUGCUCCCCUGUUCCCUCCAGGUGAGUCCAGAGAGCUUAGACCCGUGUCAGCCCUGCUCCUGUGACCCAGCAGGCUCCCCAGCAUGUGUCCCAGACCAGUCCCAGGCUGAAGGAGACCUCACGGCUGGAUCCUGCCACUGUAAGCAGGGUUACUGGGGACAACAGUGUGACAGGUGUGCUUUCGGCUACAGUGGCUACCCCAACUGUAACUGUAACUCCGCUGUAACUGCAGUCUAGAUGGAAGCCUAAACAAGGACCCCUGCCAGCUGCCCUGUGUCUGCAAGGAGACAUCCAUGGCUGG